rnacentral:ncRNA from 16 species
CUAUGCCCGAGCGGUCAAGGGGUGGCACUCAAGUUGCCAUAGUUCCGGCUGCGUGGGUUCGAAUCCCACUGGUAG